rnacentral:lncRNA from 12 species
UUGUUAAUUUUAUCUACAUUUUUUAUGCCUUUGUUUUUGUCAUCAGAUAUAUUCUCCUUUCAUUUUGGCCGCAGGACCAAGUGCAGAGUGGACUCCUUCUGGAUGUUGUAGUCGGACAGGGUGCACCCAUCUUCUAGCUGUUUGCCGGCAAAGAUCAACCUCUGCUGGUCAGGUGAAGGACCAGGUGCAGAGUGGACUCCUUCUGGAUGUUGUAGUCGGACAGGACGGAUGCUUCCAAUUCAAAUUCAGUUACUCCGAUUGUAAUAUCCUGGUUCUCCGGGCUCCUGGGUGGCUCAGUCAGUUAAACACCUGCCUUCGGUUUGGGUCGUAAUUCCCAAAUCCUGGAAUCCAGCCUCCAGUAGGGCUUACCACUCAGUGGGGAGCCUGCUUCUCCCUCUGUCUCUGCCUACCUACCACUCCCCUCUCCUUGUGCUCUCUCUGUCAAAUAAAUAAAUAAAUAAAUAAAUAAAUAAAUAAAUA